GAUGAACGCUGGCGGCGUGCCUAAUACAUGCAAGUCGAGCGAACAGACGAGGAGCUUGCUCCUCUGACGUUAGCGGCGGACGGGUGAGUAACACGUGGAUAACCUACCUAUAAGACUGGGAUAACUUCGGGAAACCGGAGCUAAUACCGGAUAAUAUAUUGAACCGCAUGGUUCAAUAGUGAAAGACGGUUUUGCUGUCACUUAUAGAUGGAUCCGCGCCGCAUUAGCUAGUUGGUAAGGUAACGGCUUACCAAGGCAACGAUGCGUAGCCGACCUGAGAGGGUGAUAGGCCACAAUAGAACUGAGACACGGUCCAGACUCCUACGGGAGGCAGCAGUAGGGAAUCUUCCGCAAUGGGCGAAAGCCUGACGGAGCAACGCCGCGUGAGUGAUGAAGGUCUUCGGAUCGUAAAACUCUGUUAUUAGGGAAGAACAAAUGUGUAAGUAACUAUGCACGUCUUGACGGUACCUAAUCAGAAAGCCACGGCUAACUACGUG
rnacentral:rRNA from 1 species